rnacentral:lncRNA from 1 species
AGUGCACGGUUGCUUCAUCAUGACUACAUGUAAAAGAAAAAAAAAAGCAAUAUUGGUGUGGUUUGACAAAACACCUGUUGAAGAUGCAACUCAGUUUAUGCCCUGUCGGAAAUAACCCAUACGUUAAUAGAUGCUUCUUUGUAAUGGUGCAGAUUUUUUUGGUUAAGAGAUUGGGAAACCAACCAUAAUGGCUCGUAGGAAUCGUAUUCGUUUGUGAAGUUUUUGGUGAUAUAG